rfam:Phaseolus vulgaris cultivar G19833 chromosome 4, whole genome shotgun sequence.
AAGCCAUGAUUAGGACAUCUUCUUAACAUCACUUUAAAGCAUUCCCAAGCUUCACAAAAAGGUUCAUUUGACCCUUGCCUGAAUGUGGAGAUAUCAAACUUAACCUU